UACGGAGGAUGCAAGCGUUAUCCGGAAUGAUUGGGCGUAAAGCGUCCGCAGGUGGCAAUGUAAGUCUGCUGUUAAAGAGUGAGGCUCAACCUCAUAAGAGCAGUGGAAACUACAUAGCUAGAGUGCGUUCGGGGCAAAGGGAAUUCCUGGUGUAGCGGUGAAAUGCGUAGAGAUCAGGAAGAACACCGGUGGCGAAGGCAGCUCUCUGGGACGGUACUGACGCUGAGACGCGAAAGCGUGGGGAGCGAACAGG
rnacentral:rRNA from 1 species